AUUGAACGCUGGCGGCAGGCCUAACACAUGCAAGUCGAGCGGAUGAAGGGAGCUUGCUCCUGGAUUCAGCGGUGGACGGGUGAGUAAUGCCUAGGAAUCUGCCUGGUAGUGGGGGAUAACGUCCGGAAACGGGCGCUAAUACCGCAUACGUCCUGAGGGAGAAAGUGGGGGAUCUUCGGACCUCACGCUAUCAGAUGAGCCUAGGUCGGAUUAGCUAGUUGGUGGGGUAGAGGCCUACCAAGGCGACGAUCCGUAACUGGUCUGAGAGGAUGAUCAGUCACACUGGAACUGAGACACGGUCCAGACUCCUACGGGAGGCAGCAGUGGGGAAUAUUGGACAAUGGGCGAAAGCCUGAUCCAGCCAUGCCGCGUGUGUGAAGAAGGUCUUCGGAUUGUAAAGCACUUUAAGUUGGGAGGAAGGGCAGUAAGUUAAUACCUUGCUGUUUUGACGUUACCAACAGAAUAAGCACCGGCUAACUUCGUG
rnacentral:rRNA from 1 species